AACUAUAGUAACGCCACAAGCCUACUAUGUUUGAUCUUUACGAUCAGCUUUCUUAUCCUGCUUCGGCAAAUACAAAACUUAGAUUUGAUGUAUUGCAGAGUAUUGAAAUAUAGAAACGCAUUGUCAUA
ncrna:unclassified sequences RT-10 RNA